AACGAACGCUGGCGGCAGGCCUAACACAUGCAAGUCGAGCGCCCUUUCGGGGGAGCGGCGGACGGGUGAGUAACGCGUGGGAAUAUGCCCUUCUCUACGGAAUAGCCUCGGGAAACUGAGAGUAAUACCGUAUACGCCCUGUGGGGGAAAGAUUUAUCGGGGAAGGAUUAGCCCGCGUUGGAUUAGGUAGUUGGUGGGGUAAUGGCCUACCAAGCCGACGAUCCAUAGCUGGUUUGAGAGGAUGAUCAGCCACACUGGGACUGAGACACGGCCCAGACUCCUACGUGAGGCAGCAGUGGGGAAUCUUAGACAAUGGGGGCAACCCUGAUCUAGCCAUGCCGCGUGAGUGAUGAAGGCCUUAGGGUUGUAAAGCUCUUUCAGCUGGGAAGAUAAUGACGGUACCAGCAGAAGAAGCCCCGGCUAACUCCGUG
rnacentral:rRNA from 1 species